CCUACGGGAGGCAGCAGUGGGGGAUAUUGCACAAUGGAGGAAACUCUGAUGCAGCGACGCCGCGUGAGGGAAGACGGUCUUCGGAUUGUAAACCUCUGUCUUUGGGGAAGAAAAUGACGGUACCCAAAGAGGAAGCACCGGCUAACUACGUGCCAGCAGCCGCGGUAAUACGUAGGGAGCGAGCGUUGUCCGGAAUUACUGGGUGAAAAGAGGGCGUAGGCGGGCGAGAAAGUUGAAUGUUAAGUCUACGGGCUAAACCGGUAGCUGCAGUUAAAAAUGGUUGUCUUGAGUGAAGUAGAGGCAGGCGGAAUUCCUAGUGUAGCGGUGAAAUGCGUAGAUAUUAGGAGGAACACCCGUGGCGAAGGCGGCCUGCUGGGCUUUAACUGACGCUGAGGCUCGAAAGCGUGGGGAGCAAACAGGAUUAGAUACCCGAGUAGUC
rnacentral:rRNA from 1 species